rnacentral:lncRNA from 1 species
GUUACUACUGACCUUCUGCCGGUCAAGAGAGGCGAUCCAGGACUGGUGGAUGUCCCAGAAGCACUCUGCGACUUUGGCUCUAGUGUCAACAUUAUACCCAGGUUACUCUAUGAAAAAAUCUUUACAUAUCCUUUAUUAGAGACAACCAUGUGUUUGCAGUUUGCAGAUCAGGCAUUAAGUUUUCCAAAAGGGAUAUUGAAGAACCUUUGUGUCCGAGUUGGUACCGUAUAUGCCCUAGCAGACUUCGUGGUGAUAGAGACCGGUAAUGAUGAGAGAGCACCCAUCAUCUUAGGGAGGCCAUUCUUGAACACCUCGGGAGCUGUCAUCUACGCUAGUGCUGCCAAGAUCAGUUUCUACAUCAAAGGGAGAAAGGAGACAUUUUCCUUCAAGAACAAGACUACACAAAUCCCAGAUCAAUCCAGACGUGAAUCAAGGAAGAGGACCAACAAGAGGAAUAGGAACAAGCAAGUGUGGACCGAGUCGGCUAAGAUGGUCACUGCAGUUCAUGGAGGUCAAGAUCACCAACUUAAGUCACCGUUUCUAACCAAGAAGGAUGACCCAGGAAUGCCAAGCAUCUAUUGCUCCAUAAAUGGAUAUAACUUCUACAAGACGUUUUGCGACACCGGAUCGAGCGUCAACAUAAUGGCGGCAGUCACCUAUCGGCUCUUGUUCAGAACCAUGCCCCUAAAACCAACUUACAUUCAGCUCCAGAUGGCAGAUCAAACAUUUCGAGAGGUUAAAGGAAUAGUAACUGAUGUCCCUGUCAAAAUGGACGAUCAUUUUGUCUACACAGGCUUUCAGGUUAUUGACAUGGGAGAAGACGAGUACGAUCCACCCAUCAUCCUUGGAAGACCGUUCCUCAGCACCGUUAAAGCAAUCAUCUACAUUGGAACUAGAGAAGUCCAUAUGCACUUCUCCUCAGAGAAGGUACGCCGCUAUUUUACUGACCCUGACUAUAUCGUUGAAGACUCUAAGCAGGUCAGAAAGCGACGCAACCGCAACCAGAGGAGGCAGAUCACCAAGGACGGAUGGGCAGACUGUGAAGGAGAAGUUGUAAGGUCAGAAGACAUACAGUUUAAACAGAAUUAUCCAGAGGAGACCGUAGCACCAAGUCAGGUGUGGAGAGAGAAGAUAACUAUACAUGAAGAGGAGGCGUUGCCGGAAGAACCGACUACGCCACCCAACGAAUCCCAGGACAAUUGAGAAAAUGGAGAGUCCCGUUCGGAGGACUUGAAAACACCGAACGCCUUGCCAAGAGGUAAACUUGGUAGUUAUUCUUUCCCUUUCAAUUAUUUAAAUAGUUUGCUUAGUUAAUUAUGUUCAUACUAUCCUAAAAAGAAAAUAAAAAUGUUAAAAAAACAAAAAAUAGUAAGCCCUAUGUGAGUAUACGAGUGGCAUAAAACCCCAUAAGUACAUUCACUGUGGUGGCAUAAAAAUAAAAUAAAUAUUUCUUGUCUGCUUUAUAAAAUGAAAAUAUAAAAAUAGAGAGUAACAUUUAUUGAGGAGUCUCCACAUGAUGAAGGCUAGAUAUUUUUGCUAACACUUAAUCAGUUUCAUAAAGCUUUGUUGUCUAUUUGAGCUCCACAGAAUUCAAGAAUCAAGAAGACUAGCAGACGGAGGACAUUCUAAUCGUUGUCAGAAUGCUGCUGACUUUCAAACACAUCUCUGCCACCUGCUAGCUACAUUAGGAGAAAUUACGUCAAAAUUCAGCUUGGAGGAGAGCACCUCCAUUUAUCUCGCUAAGUAUUUCUAUCUAUCUUUACACUUAUAUUAUAUUAGAAUAUAAAUAUACAUAACUAUAAAAAACCAAAUAAAGAUUUUGUGCUUAUAUAUAAAUAUAUGUCUUUUGCUUAGUGUGUUGAAUAAAUAAAUAAAUAAAGUGGCUAUGCUAAACUAUAUCUAAAUAAAACUCUAGCAUGGAUAUGAUGAAUAGUUGCUCUGCCUAAUUUGCAAAUUUGAAGUUCUCUCACUAGUUUAGAUAUAACUGUUAUAAUUUAAAGCUUGCUCUAAACCUAAACUUGUGGGAUGAAAACUUGAUCUGAAGUCUAAGUUGUUAACGGAUAUGAUUUGGGAAGGUUGAGCUGCUGUUUAUCUGUUCCUAGAGAUGCUAGAAUUCUGGAGAAUUUUAUCUUUGAAAAUCUUUAAAAUAGCACAUGAUGAGUUCCUGUAUGAUGAGAGUUUAAAUUCCUACCACAGCCAUAUAUACAUGCUUGCUAGACUUUGAACCACGCAUUUACUUUUUACUGCUUAUGAGCAUUGAGUGUGAUCAAGCUGGGUAGACCCUUAGGAGCUUAUCAUGUGGUUAAAUCAAGAUUCACUUGCACGUUCAUUCACGCAUGCUGCUUCUACUCCGGAAGUACGCAUCCACAUAUAUCCACCCAUUUCCAUCUCCAGAACCACCCAAAAAAUAUUCUACUCCUAAUCUGGGAGAGAACAGCCAAAAACAUUUCUGUUUUUCCUCUGUGAAAUAAAUGCUCAAGUUAUCUUGUUACUACCACUUGCUAUAUUAUCUUAUGAGAUGAGUGCUCUAAAAAAAGAAAAAAAAAGAAAAAAAGAUACGAGGAAAUAAAAAGGGGCAAGUGCUCGGAACCUCGGAAGAAAAAAAAGAGAAAAGUGAGACGAGAGGUAAAAAUGGACAAGUGUCCGACAGUAGAAUUAGGGGUACAAGAUACCCACCUGAGAGGAAAGAAAAAGAAAAAAAAAUAAGAGCAUCUCAUUCUCCUCUCAAAGUUUCAAAAAGCAAGGAAGGUAUGUAUCCCCUCUGUUGACGGUUCUUAAAUAUCAAUUCUAAUUAUCAAAUAAACAAGAGAAAGGACCAAUAUGCAACCAACACCUAGAAUUAGGGUUUGAUCUGACAAAAUGCCAUGAGUUUUGUUGUUUAUCUGUUUCUGCAGGGGGUUAUCAGGAAAUAAGGAAGAAAGGCCCACACGUCAGUAUUACAUAGAGAUAUCAACGCACCGCGCAAUUUUCUACCAUCUUGAAGACUCUAGAAGCCACGGGAAGAAAGCAGAGGCCAAAAGGGGCCAGGCCUAGGGCGCCCGCCCUGAGGACCUGGGCGCCCGCCCCCUCCUGUACUCCGUUCGGGACUCUCUUCGCACACGAUGUUCCACCGACCUAAUGGAUCAAGGAUAACGUAGUACCACAUCGCCUACCGACCCAAAAAUGCAUAGAGGAGGAGGACUAUAUAAGGAGACCCCCUGGCCCCUGGAGGAGACAAGAAGUUAUCACAGAGAUUGAGGGGUGCCCUUGAAGGAAAACCUCUUCUCUAAAUAAUAUUUCUUUUUAGGCUUAGCAACCAAUGUAAAGUAGAAAUAGAUCUUCUAGUUUCUACUAAAUUGAGAGAGAUAGAGUGGAGGUGUAGAUUGGAGGAAGCCCGGCCUGUCGGUGUCUACUCCAAGCUUGUACCUGCAAGAUCAAGUUCUCCUAACCCGAAGCUUGCUCCUAGGAUUCUUCAGUAUUUCGACUUCUAAAUUCUAGUAAGUUCUUGUUUUAUUGUUCUUUUGGUUUAUGAGUUUACUUUAAUCUCUUCGCGUAGAGUUUAGAGUAAUCAUUGCUGGCGUAGACGUGGUGUUUAGGCUGGGGUACUCAUAGAUAUUCCCUGACUAGCUAGACCGUGGUAGUAGUGAGGAACGUGACAAUUCCGAGUUACCUUUGCAGACCAUAUCUCGUUAGCAGGAAGGAUAGGGUUUAUAGGUGCGGGUUGAACAUCCUUUGUGGUGUCUAGAUUCCGUUAGCCUCGCAAAUUGAACAGUAGAUCAUCCUUACCAAGGUUAGAAGGAGAUUACGGUUGUAGUCUUCUCUAUUUAUCACUCACAUCGAGAGACAUUCUUUGUUGCCUAAAGGGUUAGUAGUAAUAGACCAGUUAGUCAGAUGCACACUUUCACCUAAAGGUAAAAAAUUAAAUACGAUACUCUAGAUAACCUCCCGGGUGAAGUGCUCACCGAUAUCCGUGCGCUUGCGGAUCAAUUCCUUAUUGCGUUCCCAAAUAUCAACAAGCAUUUCUGGCGCCGUUGCCGGGGAGAAAGACGGGUUGCUGAGAUAACCUUGAGUCUUACUACUAGCUUGUAUCUAUACUUUUAUCUUUUCUUAUCUUUUAUAUUCUUUAUUUAUUUUCUUUACUCUUACCUUAUGGAAAACCAAAAUUCUAAAUCAAUCCAUGAGUCUGCAAUCCCUUCAGUAACUGACCUUUUACCAUGGGAAUCAUCACAGCCUAUUCAAACAUCCCAGUAUAAGUUAAGUUCUAGGUUGAUUGCCAUGAUUCAAAACCUAUCUUUUUCGGGAAAGGAAGAUGAAAACCCUUACCUUCAUAUUAGAGAUUUUGAGCAAACAUGUGAUUGUCUUCGCAUUGAAGGCAUUUCUGAUAAAACUUUACGUUGGAAGCUUUUUCCUUUUUCUUUAAGGGGAGAAGCUAGACAAUGGUACAGUCAGAAGGUAAGUCAACAACAAGGUGAAUGGGGAGUUUUACGAGCCAACUUUUGUCUAGAUUUCUAUUCCCUCAACCGUAUAGCCGACCUUAGACUCGAAGUCCUAUCUUUUAAACAAAAAGAUAAUGAAACUUUGGGAAAAUCCUGGAAAUAUUUUUCUGAUCUUUUAGAAUCUGGUCAAAACCUUAAUCUUGAAGACCCUGUUCUUUUAUUUCACUUUUUUUGAGGUCUUCAGAAAAAUCACAAACAAAUGCUACACACAAUGUCUAGAGGUUCUUUCUUUCGCAUCCCUACUGAUGAAGCUAGAGUGAUCCUAGAUAGAAUCCUAGAAGCUAAGAUGGAUAAUACCCUUCAUGAUGACACCUACGAAGCCGAAGUAGACACUCUGCCAAAUUCUUCAUCUACUUUAGCUAUCCCAAGUUCUGAGCCAAAAGAGGAAGAAAUUCCACCACCGGACUUCAUGCUGGAUAUAGAAUCCGAUCUUUUUGCUGAUUUUGAAAACAUUUCAAACUACCAUUUUAUUGACAAACCCCAAAAUGGCCAGUUUAGCAUUUAUUUGCCAAGUGAAUAUCAAUUAAGAGAGCUUAUCUCAGUCAUGAGUAGCGAAUGGUUGGAGGAAUCAGAGCUUUCCUCUGAUGUGAUCCUUUUGGACACACCCUCUAUAACUAUACGCUGUGCUUAUUUGAUCGAUUUAAUGCUCUUGAUAAUCCUGUUGUGGGGAUCAACAUCAUGUCUAAAUCUUUUGCACUUAAACUAUUUAAAAAUCUUGCCUUAACCCCCACAACAAAGGUCAUAAAGGAAUCUUCGAGACGAUUAGUCCCCAGUCUUGGAAUUAUUAAUGUCCUACCUCUUACGGUAGAAGGCUCCAUGGUUCAUUUGAACUUCUAUAUCUUUGAUACAUGGGACUUCGACCUGUUGAUAGGACAACCUUUUAGAAGACUCCUUUAUGAAGGUCAUACUGGAAAGCUACAUAUUUCUUUUGGAAAAGCCUUUAAAUUCCCAAUAACAAUUUCACACUCCUUAAAUAAUAAGGCCGAGUCAUAUCUUUUGCCUGAUCCUAUACAGGAGGUAAAGGCUGCAUCUCUUGAACUUUUAGAAGAAUCAGACUUAGGAGACGAAACUCCUUUCUUCAUAGAAGAAGAAUUCGAACCCUCUGAACCUGAACCCUUAGAUGAGUUUGCAGAAACACCUAGACCCCCCAUAGAGCUUAAAACUUUACCACCCGGUCUUAUCUAUGCUUUCCUAAACAACAAUCCAGAGUUUCCUGUGAUCAUUAGUGAUAAACUCACUCAGGAGGAAACUCUGCGAUUAAUGACCAUUCUUGAGAAACAUCACUCAGUUUUCAGCUACUCACUCCAAGAUCUCACUGGAAUCAGUCCUAUGAUUUGUACCCAUCGUAUUCCAACAGAUCCUUCUGUUUCACCUUCUCGAGAACCCCAACGUAGACUUAACAACACUAUGAGAGAGGUAGUUAAAAAGGAAGUUAUAAAGUUGCUGCAUGCAGGGAUUAUAUAUCCUGUGCCACACAGUGAGUGGGUAAGCCCAGUACAACUUGUGCCUAAAAAGGGAGGCAUGACUGUUAUUAUGAAUGAAAAGAACGAGCUAAUUCCGCAACGCACCGUCAUAGGAUGGCGGAUGUGCAUAGACUAUAGAAAACUAAACAAAGCCACGAGAAAGGAUCACUUUCCUUUACCUUUCAUAGAUGAGAUGCUAGAGCAGUUUGCAAACCAUUCGUUCUUCUGUUUCUUAGAUGGAUAUUCAGGGUAUCAUCAGAUCCCGAUCCAUCCUGAUGAUCAAAGCAAAACCACUUUUACAUGCCCAUAUGGAACUUAUGCUUACCGUAGAAUGUCUUUUGGGUUAUGUAAUGCACCAGCUUCUUUUCAAAGAUGCAUGAUGUCUAUAUUUUCUGAUAUGAUUGAAGAGAUUAUGGAAGUUUUCAUGGAUGAUUUCUCUGUUUAUGGAAAAACUUUUGAUAGUUGUCUUGAAAACUUAGACAAGGUUUUGCAAAGAUGUGAAGAAAAGCACUUAGUCCUUAAUUGGGAAAAAUGUCGUUUCAUGGUUAGGGAAGGAAUAGUGCUGGGACACUUAGUGUCUGAAAGAGGUAUUGAGGUAGAUAAAGCUAAAAUUGAAGUAAUUGAACAACUACCUCCACCUGUGAACAUCAAAGGAAUUCGAAGCUUUCUUGGCCAUGCUGGUUUCUAUCGUAGAUUCAUAAAAGAUUUUCAUUUAUUGCUAGACCACUUACUCUUUCGCUAGCCAAGGAUGCUCCUUUCGAAUUUGAUGAUGCAUGUCUAACAUCUUUUAAUUUAUUAAAGAAAGCACUCAUCUCUGCACCAAUCAUUCAACCCCCUGAUUGGUCGUUGCCUUUUGAAAUUAUGUGUGAUGCUAGUGAUUAUGCUGUGGGGGCAGUUUUGGGAUAAACUAAAAAUAAGAAGCAUCAUGCAAUUGCUUAUGCUAGUAAAACUUUGACAGGAGCUCAACUUAAUUAUGCAACCACUAAUAAAGAGCUUCUGGCUGUUGUCUUUGCCAUUGAUAAAUUUAGAUCUUAUUUAGUUGGAGCUAAAAUAAUUGUUUACACUGAUCAUGCUGCACUAAAAUAUUUGCUCACUAAAAAAGAUACUAAACCUCGCCUGAUUAGAUGGAUCUUAUUACUCCAAGAAUUUGACUUAGAAAUAAAAGAUAAAAAGGGAGUAGAAAAUUCUGUUGCUGAUCACUUGUCUAGAAUGUAUUUUAAGAAUCCACAGGAAACUCCCAUCAAUGAUUCACUCGGGGACGACAUGCUCUACGGGAUUAACAGGUUUGACCCCUGGUAUGCAGAUAUUGUUAAUUUUAUGGUUUCAGGGUAUGUACCACUAGGAGCAAACAAGAAGAAGCUUAUUCAAGAAAGUCGUUCACAUAUAUGGGAUGAGCCAUACCUCUUCCGAGUAUGCUCUGAUGGCUUACUCAGGAGAUGUGUGACCACUGAGGAAGGAUGGAAGAUCAUCGACAGAUGUCAUUCAUCACCAUAUGGAGGUCACUAUGGAGCAUUCCGUACACAUUCAAAGAUCUGGCAGUGUGGAUUCUACUGGCCUACAAUGUAUGAAGACACGAAGCAAUAUAUUAGAAGAUGUGGGCCAUGUCAAAGGCACGGAAACAUAAAUACAAGGGAUGCAAUGCCACUCACCAACAACCUUCAGAUUGAGCUCUUCGAUGUCUGGGGAAUAGACUACAUGGGUCCAUUUCCUCCAUCAAAGAAGUGCGAGUACAUCUUGGUGGCAGUUGACUAUGUCUCCAAGUGGGUAGAGGCAUUACCUUGUAAGCAUGCCGACAACAUCAGUUCAAAGAGAAUGUUUGAAGAAAUUAUAUUUCCAAGAUUUGGAGUCCUCAGAGUAGUGAUAAGUGAUGGAGGAGCACACUUCAUUAACAAACGCUUCAAGCAAUAUCUAUCAAAACAUGGAAUCCGUCACAACGUUGCUACUCCCAAUCAUCCUCAGACAAGUGGCCAAGCAGAGACUUCCAACAAACAAAUCAAGAAUAUUCUUCAGAAGACAGUAAAUGAAAUGGGAACGGCGUGGAAAGACAAGUUACCCGAUGCACUCUGGGCAUACCGGACAACAUAUAAGACCCCAAUUGGAAUGUCUCCAUACCAACUGGUGUAUGGGAAGACUUGCCACCUACCUGUUGAACUAGAGUUCAAAGCACACUAGGCCAUAAAGAGAUGGAAUAUGGACCUAGAUGUUGUUGGAGAUCAUAGAAGAAUGCAACUAUCAGAAUUGGAAGAAUGGCUAGAGAAAGCAUAUCACAAUUCGAAGAUCUACAAAGAAAGAGUCAAAAGGUGGCAUGACAAGAGAAUCAAGAAGAAGGAGUUCACACCCAGAGAUAAGGUAUUACUUUUUAAUUCUAGGGUGAAGCUUUUUGGGCAUGGGAAACUCCGGAGCAAAUGGGAAGGACCAUUCAAGGUAAUUAAUUCAUCAUCCCACGGAGCUAUCACACUUCAAAAUGAUGAAGGUAUGUUAUUCAAGAUAAAUGGUCAACGUCUUAAAUUAUUUUUAGAGCCCAGUAAAGAAUUAGAAGAAAUAGACGUAGUCCAUUUUUACCUUCCCAUGGAGAAUUAGAGCCCGACCUUUUUAGUCUGAUGUUUUUGGGUCAUAUAUAUAUAUUUUUAAAUAGUUUUGCAUCUAGAAACGCGCUCGAGAAAGUGGGCCCACAGAGGGGCCAGAGAGAGGGCGGGCGCCCAGAUCAGGUGGGCGGGCGCCCAGCUCCUGUUCCUCCUCGGUCCUGAUUUUCUCUGUUAUGGAAAAUGCACUUAUGGUAAUCCGAAUAAUCCCUUAGAUAGAAAGUUUCGCACGCACAUCGACGGGAGCAACCCGAACAACCCCUAGAGGCACUUUUUGACCCCUAUAUAAACAGACCCCUGACAUCAGUUUUCAAACACCAAACCACCAAGCCUUCUCCUCUUUUUCAAUUAGAGCUUGAUUAGUUCCUUGCUGCUCCAAUGGCCGAGAACUUCCACGAUGAUUGGGAAGUCGUCCCCUUCAACCUCAACAUGGAACCUGUGGAAGACCCCGAUGCCCGUGCUCUCGUCCCGGCCAACACAGAGCGACAGCUAGAAGCCAUGCCAUUACGCCAAUGCAGCUUCGCCCAAUCCUACCAUGCUCAACCAGUUCUCACCGCACCGCCACAACCCCUACUCCUCAAGGGAUCAUCAUCCAAGACGAAGACCACCAUUAAGGUGCCAACCGGCACAAGGAUCCUUCCACCUAGACCCAAUGAGAGGGUCGUUGGAGUUAAGACCAACCGGAGCGGUGAGAUCAGCAGCAUUCGCUACACUACGAAGGAGGAGAGGCCUUACUUCGAAGGGAUUAGAGCAGCCAAAGUCCGUUUCAUCCCUCCAAAGGCAGCCCCAAAGCAUGCUCUCAAUGCUUUUAAGACACCUUCCAAGCGUCGCAAAACUAUAAUGGAUAUUGAUGAGGACGUUCGCAGACUAGACAAAGUUAUCAUAGACCUCCAGUCCUCGAUUAAUUCCCUCGCUAGGCAGCUCUCUAACCACAACACUGUUAUACUAGGCCUUAGGCAUGAUCUUGCCAGUGCCAUCAAGAAGAUUAAGGAAUUAGAGCGCUGCUAAGUUAUCUAGAUUAGACCUUGAGGCAAAUGCAUCUUAGUUAUCUAUCUUUAAAUUCGGUUUAGUGUUACUAUUAUUAUCAGUUUGCUACUAGUCUUUUGUAGUAAAUGCCUCAAGAUUAAUAAAGAGUAUUAUUAUUAUUAUUAUGUCUUGUGUGUCUCUACUUUAUUUUUGUGCAAGAAAGCAGAAAACAAGUAUGGGGGAGAUCCCUCAACAUGCCAAACACACUCCGACUACACCACUCCACGAUUCGGGUACACACUCUGCACACUUUACUUUACACAUACACAUAUCUUGGAUUAUGCAGAAUACUGUUCCCGACAUGAUAAAUUAAAAAUAUUAAAAUAUUUCUAAUCAUGAUUAAUCUCAUUCUGUGAUAUUUCCUAAAACUUGUAACUAUUAUAAAAUUAUUUUAAAACCCUGUGUUACUUAAGACAGUAUGGAAUAAGAGAUGGUAGAGUAUGAGUUUCUUAUUCUUGAUAUCAUUGUUGCUUGGAGAAUUUAUUUCAAAAUUAAUUCUAGCUACCAUCCUUAGUGUUUUAUAUGCCUAAAAAAACUGAAAAAAAUUAAUCAUAAAAGAUAUCUACUCUGUAUUGAGUUUGUUCAAAAUGAGUUAGACCCUUGUUGAGAGAUUUAUCAUGCUCCUAAGAUCAAGACAUUUAUUCAGAAAGAUUCACUCUUCCGAAGUAUUAUUACAUUAGAGGCAUGGGCUAUGCAAAAAUAAAGAUAUUUCGAGGGAAUAAAAAGGAGCAAGUGCUCGACAACCUCGCAGAAAAAAAUGGACAAGCGUCCGGCAGUAGAAUUAGGGGUACCUCGGUAUCCACUUAAAAAAAAGAGAAGAGAGAAAAAGAAAAUGAUAGACUAUGGUCCCUCUAAUAAGCAAUAUGCCAGCAAGAGUUGACAAAGAUUUUAAAUUCCAAAGUCUUUGAUCUAAGAGUAUGACAUUCCCCUCCUCGGAUUCCGUUUUAAUUAGGCAAUAAAUACAAAGUAAGUAUGCUUGAGAAUUUUUGCUAAAGUAUAGGGUUUAGGGUUUAGGGAUAAAAAAUAUGAGGAUAAAAAGGUAUGCUAACUUUCUUUCAAAAAUAUACAAAAACUCCAAGUGACAGGAUUGAGAAGAAUGGAUCUUUACUCUUAACUAUAUACUUCCCUGACUAUAGUACACAGUGGAAUUUUAACACCCUGCAGUUAUGAAAAGAAUGUUUUAAAAUGUUUUACCCCAAAUAUUGUUCUUAACCAUCCUUUUCUUGAGGACGAGUAAAAGCUUAAGUAUGGGGGUAUUUGUUGACGGUUCUUAAGUAUCAAUUUUAAUUAUCAAAUAAACAAGAGAAAGGACCAAUAUGCAACCAACACAUAGAAUUAGGGUUUGAUCUGACAGAAUUCCACGAGUUUUGUUGUUUAUCUGUUUCUGCAGGGGGUUAUCAGGAAAUAAGGAAGAAAGGCCAACAUGUCGGUAUUACAUAGAGAUAUCAACGCACCGCGUAAUUUUCUACCAUCUAGAAGACUCUAGAAGCCACGGGAAGAAAGCAGAGGCCAAAAGGGGCCAGGCCCAGGGCGCCCGCCCUGAGGACCUGGGCGCCCGCCCCCUCCUAUACUCCGUUCGGGACUCUCUUCGCACACGAUGUUCCACCGACCUAAUGGAUCAAGGAUAACGUAGUACCACAUCGCCUACCGACCCAAAAAUGCAUAGAGGAGGAUGACUAUAUAAGGAGACCCCCCUGGCCCCUGGAGGAGACAAGAAGUUAUCAUAGAGAUUGAGGGGUGCCCUCGAAGGAAAACCUCUUCUCUAAAUAAUAUUUCUUUUUAGGCUUAGCAACCAAUGUAAAGUAGAAAUAGAUCUUCUAGUUUCUACUAGAUUGAGAGAGAUAGAGUGGAGGUGU